GCAUUCCACUUGAUUUCUCGCAUGGCCGACGUGUGCAUACCGUAAUCCGUGGUGUCUCAGAGUGUCACGUAUCAAAUAUCGUCCAUAAUCGCCCGCAUCGGGGUCCACGCCGUCGUCAAUCAGGUAGAACGAGAGCGAGGAAGCCGAGGCGCGGCGAGAAUUGAGAAGGAAAUACCAAGGAAAUUGAAAAGCAACGGACGAGUGGUGAAAACUCAGGAGAAAACCUAAAGGGGGACAGGUUGGUUAGGCUUGAAUAUAACCACGCGACUCACCACGCGCCGAAAUGUCCAACGAGGAGACCUCCGCCGAUCGCAAUGUCGAGAUCUGGAAGAUCAAGAAACUCAUUAAGAGUCUGGAGAUGGCCAGGGGAAAUGGCACGAGCAUGAUUUCACUUAUCAUUCCCCCCAAGGAUCAGAUAUCGAGAGUCAGUAAAAUGUUGGCUGAUGAGUUUGGUACAGCUUCCAAUAUUAAAUCACGUGUAAAUAGAUUGUCGGUACUGGGGGCCAUUACUUCGGUACAGCAUCGACUUAAACUGUACACCAAAGUACCCCCAAAUGGUCUGGUGAUAUACUGUGGAACAAUUGUCACUGAGGAGGGUAAGGAGAAGAAAGUUAACAUUGACUUUGAACCCUUCAAGCCCAUCAAUACUUCCCUCUACUUGUGCGACAACAAGUUCCAUACGGAAGCCCUCACGGCCCUACUAGCCGACGACAACAAGUUUGGAUUUAUCGUUAUGGAUGGUAAUGGCGCCCUGUUUGGUACUCUCCAAGGAAAUACGAGGGAGGUCCUUCACAAAUUCACUGUUGAUCUUCCCAAGAAGCACGGAAGAGGAGGUCAGUCAGCCCUUCGUUUCGCUCGAUUGCGUAUGGAGAAGAGACACAAUUAUGUUCGAAAAGUAGCUGAGGUAGCCACCCAACUCUACAUCACCAAUGACAAACCCAACAUUGCGGGCCUUAUUCUGGCUGGUAGUGCAGACUUUAAGACCGAACUCAGUCAAUCUGACAUGUUUGAUCCCAGAUUGCAAGCGAAAGUCAUUAAACUCGUGGAUGUGUCCUAUGGGGGAGAGAAUGGUUUUAAUCAGGCUAUUGAACUUGCUGCUGAGUCCCUGCAGAAUGUCAAGUUCAUUCAAGAAAAGAAACUUAUUGGACGUUACUUUGAUGAAAUAUCUCAGGACACAGGUAAAUAUUGUUUUGGCGUUGAGGAUACCCUGAGAGCGUUAGAAUUAGGCAGUGUAGAGACCCUCAUCUGUUGGGAGAAUCUCGACAUUCAACGGUACGUCCUCAAGAAUCACACGAAUGGUGAAGAGAAGGUGCUGCACCUCACUCCAGAACAAGAGAAAGAUAAGACCCACUUCACAGAUAAAGAGAGUGGCGUCGAGUUAGAAUUAGUAGAGUGCCAGCCCCUGUUAGAAUGGCUUGCGAACAACUACAAGAGCUUCGGAGCAACUCUAGAAAUUAUAACGGAUAAAUCCCAGGAAGGAUCACAGUUCGUCAGAGGUUUUGGUGGCAUUGGAGGAAUACUGCGCUACAAAGUCGAUUUCCAGUCACUGCAGGCUGACGAGCCUCUCGAUGACGUUGACCUCGAUGAUUAUUAAAUAUCAUCAGGGGAAAUAAAUAUGUUCAAUCCAGCUCGCACACUGGGAAAGGUAUUUUACGAUACAAAGUCGACUUUCAAAGUAUGCAGUUGGAUGAUAUCGAAAUCGGGAACUUCGAUUUGGACGAUUAUUAAGAUAACUGAGUUGAGAGUUAUUUGGUGAAUUAAUUGAAGAAUGAACAGUCAUUGUGGCUUCAGGAUUAAUAUUAUAUUGAUAAUUGAAAGGGCCGAAAACAUUUUAAAACAAAUAAAUAAGAGUCUAAACAAGAGAAGAGGAAUAAUAAAGAGAUUACACCACACAUGCAUUACACGUGAACGAAAAAUCUCAUGGAAAGAGGGAGUUGAAUCUCUUCAUCUUUGAUCGUUAAUAUAUCUGGUCCCGACGACGGGAUUUUUACGAAUUCGCGUCACUUUGAGGACUGCAAUAAUAUAUUCGAAAUGAGAAAAAAAAUCGAAUUUUAUUCAGCCAAUUAGGAGAUAUUAACGAUUAAAAACGAUUGGUUUGACUCCCUCUCGCCUAAAUUAUGGAAAUGAAAAUCUAUGGUUGAUCGAAGAUUUUGUCCUCCGAGAGAAGCUGUAUUUUUCCCCUCCAUAAAUCGGUUCAUCACGGUACACAAUUGUAAUAGAAAAUUCAUACUGAUAGAAGAUAACACAAAAUUUUCCACGCAGAGUGGUCAGAUUGCAAAUUAGAAAAAUUUAUAAGCGAGAAGAAUUCAGAACAUUGAAUGGAAAACGGACUUUUUUUUCUGUUGAGAAAUUGACAUAAAAGUGAGUCUGUGUGAGGAUCAUCGUGUGAAUGAUAUCAGUGUGAGACGUCAAAAUGAAAUCCACAAUAAAUCGACGAAGUUUUCUCCAGUUUAUGAUAAUUGGAAUCGAAGCAAUAAAUAAAUAUUCGAAUGGAUUUUUAUGGGCAACUCGAAGACUGUGACACUUAAUUAAGCCAGCUUGAAUACCUGCCUACAUUAAUCAUAAAGAAAAACAAAAUAAACAACUCAAAUGAAACAUUGUUGCCAGUUAGGAGCACCAGGAAGUGAGUGAACACUGUACAUUAAAUAAAUUCAACACGGGAAAACGACGAAAAUUCUUGAAGUGUUUUUUGGAAUUAAAAAAAAAACACGUAUCUUCUCAGGACGUUUACGUAUUAAUUCGGGGACAUAUUGACAGAGUUCGAGAGGUGUUUGACGAUAACAAGAGCUGUACAACAUAAUUAUUUAAUUGUGGUAAUGACGAUGUGCAAUUGGUGAAAAGAAAUAUUGUUGUUCUUCA